rnacentral:lncRNA from 1 species
UAAUGGACGACACGGAUGACAAGGAAAGUGCCAUCGUACAUCCUCUGGGUGUCUUGAGGAGCUGGUCUUUGGAUAAUGCUGAGCAGGUCUUUCUUUCUGGUAAAGAUUAUCAUUACAGUGAAGUAAAAGAAUUUAACAGACAGAUUGACAAACAACUGACGAAAGAAGAGAGACGAUUCAAUAGGGGUUGCCACAGCAGAAUGAACCGCCAACUUAUGCAGCAUAUGUUUUACACAGCGGAUGCCCUUCCAGCUGCAACCCAGUACUGGGAAACACCCAUUUACACUCAUACACUUGAACAUGGGGAGAACCUGCAAACUCCACACAGAAAUGACCACUGGCCCAGCCGGGGCUUGAACCAGCAACCUUCUUGCUGUGAGGCGACGGUGCUAACCACUGUGCUGCCCUAUGUGCUCUAUGCGGAGGCCUCUAGAGAUCGUGACCUGUGAAGAGAUGAUGCCACCAUAGAGGACUUCUAAAUGUAUCCAUAAUCCUGAAACAGACCGUAUCAUGAGCAGAUGCUGUGGUGGUCAUGGAGAAGUGGAGAGCAUGAGACUGAUUAAUGAAAGACCCCAGUGACAGAUGAGUGCCCACAUUGACCCUGUGGUCCAGCCUGAAAACC